ensembl:lncRNA
GGCUUUGUACCUUGAGUGUCCUCAGAUUGUCUCAUUUUGGCCAUAAGAGACAUCUGCGCUGCACCGCCCUCCCCUGUCAGGGCAAGUCUCGCUGUGUGUAGGUGUUACUUUCGUUCACGCAUCAACUAUUUGCCCUCAUUCUGUGUCGGCUAAUCGAUACUUCGGCAGCUCUGACGCCCAUGAAGUCCCAGGGCUGCGCUCAUCCUGACGCGUUACAUCACAGCCAGCAGGGAAGCGCUCAGCAUCGCUCCUCCCUCCUUGCACAGAACCUCAGUGCGGUGGUCUGCGGAGAGCGCUGACGGAGGGCUUUCUGUGCCGGCGCUGGAAGGUGUAGCAAGCGGAAAGGAGCGCACUAAGAGGAGCUCACGGGAAAACCCACGAGCCUUGCACUUUGUCAUUUACACGCGGUCCUGUUAUGCAACCGGCUGGUGACGCGGGUGGAGCUCUGGGUUUGGGAGGUGGUAGCAGGGAAAGCCCGGUCCCACGGCUGCCCCGCUCCCUUCACCGUUACAGGGACAGCGUUCCACGGGGCUGAGGUGGGCGCUAAGCGCCAUUUCCCUCGUCUGAAAUACCUUCGUGCAGAACGAAAUAGCCCGGAGGUGGACGGGGCACGGACAGCACAAAGCAGAGCAGCGAAGCCGUGGGGUGGUGGGAUAAGGGCAGCUCCCAGCACAGCCCCAGCCUCGGCUCUCCAUGAGCACUGCUGCUGUGCCAAUGGUUUUGACUUGACUUCGGCGUUAGCUCAGAUGUAUCCCAGCGAGGCUUCUCCCUCCCAAAGCCCUUCUUCUUAUCUCCUAUGAGAUGGCUUUCUUUUAAUAAAUCUCACUUUUCUAAAAGCAAUCCUCGAGUUUUCAGUCCAAGAAACGAGACAUGCG